AUUGAACGCUGGCGGGAUGCUUAACACAUGCAAGUCGAACGGAGUGGCGGACGGGUGAGUAAUAUAUCGGAACGUGCCCAAUAACGGGGGAUAAAUACUCGAAACAGUGGCUAAUACCGCUAACCAUUGGAUUGGCCGAUAUUGGAUUAGCUAGUUGGUGGGUGAACGGCUGACCAAGGCAACGCUCCAUAGCUGGUCUGAGAGGACGACCGGCCACACUGGAACUGAGACACGGCCCAGACUCCUACGGGAGGCAGCAGUGGGGAAUUUUUCGCAAUGGGGGAAAGCCUGAUGCAGCCAUCCCGCGUGUGUGAUGAAGGCCUUCGGGUUGUAAAGCACUUUUAGCAGAGAAGCGGUACCUGCACAGUAAGCACCGGCUAACUACGUGCCAGCAGCCGCGGUAAUUC
rnacentral:rRNA from 1 species